GAUGAACGCUGGCGGCGUGCCUAAUACAUGCAAGUCGAGCGAACGGACGAGAAGCUUGCUUCUCUGAUGUUAGCGGCGGACGGGUGAGUAACACGCGGAUAACCUACCUAUAAGACUGGGAUAACUUCGGGAAACCGGAGCUAAUACCGGAUAAUAUUUUGAACCGCAUGGUUCAAAAGUGAAAGACGGUCUUGCUGUCACUUAUAGAUGGAUCCGCGCUGCAUUAGCUAGUUGGUAAGGUAACGGCUUACCAAGGCAACGAUGCAUAGCCGACCUGAGAGGGUGAUCGGCCACACUGGAACUGAGACACGGUCCAGACUCCUACGGGAGGCAGCAGUAGGGAAUCUUCCGCAAUGGGCGAAAGCCUGACGAAGCAACGCCGCGUGAGUGAUGAAGGUCUUCGGAUCGUAAAACUCUGUUAUUAGGGAAGAACAUAUGUGUAAGUAACUGUGCACAUCUUGACGGUACCUAAUCAGAAAGCCACGGCUAACUACGUG
rnacentral:rRNA from 1 species